UACGUAGGGUGCGAGCGUUGUCCGGAAUUACUGGGCGUAAAGAGCUCGUAGGUGGUUUGUCGCGUUGUUCGUGAAAUUCCCUGGCUUAACUGGGGGCGUGCGGGCGAUACGGGCAGACUGGAGUACUGCAGGGGAGACUGGAAUUCCUGGUGUAGCGGUGGAAUGCGCAGAUAUCAGGAGGAACACCGGUGGCGAAGGCGGGUCUCUGGGCAGUAACUGACGCUGAGGAGCGAAAGCGUGGGGAGCGAACAGGA
rnacentral:rRNA from 1 species